GGAUGGGUGUCCGAGUUGGUUAAGGAGGUGGACUUAAGUCCCACUGGCUCACGCCGCCAGGGUUCGAGUCCCUGCUCAUCCA